UACAGAGGUCUCAAGCGUUGUUCGGAUUCAUUGGGCGUAAAGGGUGCGUAGGUGGCGCCGUAAGUCGGGUGUGAAAUUUCGGAGCUUAACUCCGAAACUGCAUUCGAUACUGCGGUGCUUGAGGACUGGAGAGGAGACUGGAAUUCAUGGUGUAGCAGUGAAAUGCGUAGAUAUCUGGAGGAACACCGGUGGCGAAGGCGGCAUCCUGGACCGGCAUUGACGCUGAGGCGCGAAAGCCAGGGGAGCAAACGGG
rnacentral:rRNA from 1 species